rnacentral:rRNA from 1 species
UACGUAGGGUGCGAGCGUUGUCCGGAAUUAUUGGGCGUAAAGGGCUCGUAGGCGGUUUGUCGCGUCGGGAGUGAAAACCUCGGGCUUAACUCGGGGCUUGCUUUAGAUACGGGCAGACUGGAGGUAUGCAGGGGAGAACGGAAUUCCUGGUGUAGCGGUGAAAUGCGCAGAUAUCAGGAGGAACACCGGUGGCGAAGGCGGUUCUCUGGGCAUGACCUGACGCUGAGGAGCGAAAGUGUGGGGAGCGAACAGG